rnacentral:tRNA from 1 species
GGAGAAGUACACAAGUUGGUGACGAGGCGCCCCUGCUAAGGGCGUAGGUCGGGUAACCGGCGCAGGAGUUCGAGUCUCCUCUUCUCCGCCA